rnacentral:rRNA from 1 species
AGAUUGAACGCUGGCGGCAUGCCUAACACAUGCAAGUCGAACGGGAGUAGCAAUACUCUAGUGACGGACGGGUGAGGAAUACGUAGGAAUUUGCCCUUAAGUGGGGGAUAACCCGGGGAAACCCGGAUUAAUACCGCAUGACCUCGAAAGAGCAAAGUGGGGGAUCGCAAGACCUCACGCUUUUGGAGAAGCCUACGUCGGAUUAGCUAGUUGGUGAGGUAAUGGCUCACCAAGGCGACGAUCCGUAACUGGUCUGAGAGGAUGAUCAGUCACACCGGAACUGAGACACGGUCCGGACUCCUACGGGAGCAGCAGUGGGGAAUAUUGCACAAUGGGCGCAAGCCUGAUGCAGCAACGCCGCGUGAGGGACGACGGCCUUCGGGUUG